AAUUAAGUGCCUGGUUGCAGCAUAUCUAUGUAUUAAAAAAAUGUGCUCUAAACAUUAGGCGGACUUUUUUCGCCUUCUCAACGUACUAAGUUACAAGUUAAGAUGACUGCCACCACGGCCGGUAAAAGCAAAAGGCAAACAACCUUCCAGGAAGCUGCCUGCUGUCCCCGAGUCGGAGCUGUAGUUCAGCAAGAAGCAGGUCAGCAAACGUGCUACCUUGAUCAAGCGUAAACUAAAGCGCUCUGCUGUGAUUGCACUCGGCAAACGUGAAAACUUGGCGCAUGCUGAGAAAUAUCAAGCAAAAUAUUCGUGAUGGACACCGUGCGAACAAGUUGCGCCGCCUGCCAAAAAAAACGCGGCUCAUUCUACUUGCCUGCAGAAGACAAAUUGGAUUUUGUGAUCUGUAUCCGCGGUAUCAACAAAGUUGCACCAAAAGUGCGUAAAGUUUCACUGUUGUUCCGUUUUCGCCACAUUAACUACGGUUAGUUCAUCAAAUUGAACCAUUAAUACGCUACGCAUUGCCGAACCCUAUAUCACAUGGGGUUAUCCAAAUAUUAAAUCAAUUCGUGAAUUGAUCAACAAACGUGCAAUUGUCAAGCACAACCAUCAACGUGUCCUAAUCUCUGACAACUUUGUGAUCGAACGCAAAUUGCGCAAAGAGCACGAUAUUCAGUGCGUUGAUUAUUUGGCGCACGAAAUAUUCACUAUUGGAUCCCACUUCACGAAAGAAUCCCAACUUCCUGUGGCCAUUCAAGCUCAACACCACCCGGUGGCUGACGCAAGAAGGAGAAUCUCUACGUUGAGGUUGGUCGUUUCGGCAACCGUGAAGAUAAGAGUAACAAACUCCUGCGCAAGAUAGUUUAAAGAAAUUUUUUGCUGUACAAGGUGGAGUAUUUUUAUUUCAAAAAUAUAUAAUAAAUAAAAAUAGAAAA